AAGGACAAGGUGGGGGGGGGGGGGGCAUGAGAGGAGGCCGCACUGGCCACUGGGCCCCAGCUGGGGCUGUGAUUGUCGGGCCGACGGCCUCCUCCUUCCUGGAGCAGAGGGGCCAGAUAUUGCACUUGACUGCAACACUAACAUGGAAACUUGGUC